rnacentral:rRNA from 1 species
GAUGAACGCUAGCGGGAGGCCUAACACAUGCAAGCCGAGCGGUAUUGUUUCUUCGGAAAUGAGAGAGCGGCGUACGGGUGCGUAACACGUGUGCAACCUGCCUUUAUCUGGGGGAUAGCCUUUCGAAAGGAAGAUUAAUACUCCAUAAUAUAUUGAACGGCAUCGUUUAAUAUUGAAAGCUCCGGCGGAUAGAGAUGGGCACGCGCAAGAUUAGCUAGUUGGUGAGGUAACGGCUCACCAAGGCGAUGAUCUUUAGGGGGCCUGAGAGGGUGAUCCCCCACACUGGUACUGAGACACGGACCAGACUCCUACGGGAGGCAGCAGUGAGGAAUAUUGGUCAAUGGGUGCAAGCCUGAACCAGCCAUCCCGUGUGAAGGACGACUGCCCUAUGGGUUGUAAACUUCUUUUGUAUAGGGAUAAACCUAACCUCGAGAGGGUAGCUGAAGGUACUAUACGAAUAAGCACCGGCUAACUCCGUG